rnacentral:rRNA from 1 species
CCUACGGGAGGCAGCAGUGAGGAAUAUUGGUCAAUGGACGAGAGUCUGAACCAGCCAAGUAGCGUGAAGGAUGACUGCCCUAGGGGUUGUAAACUUCGUUUAUAAAGGAAUAAAACGAGGCACGUGUGCCUGUUGGCAUGUACUUUAUGAAUAAGGAUGGGCUAACUCCGUGCCAGCAGCCGCGGUAAUACGGAGGAUCCGAGCGUUAUCCGGAUGUAGUGGGUUUAAAGGGAGCGUAGAUGGGUUGUUAAGUCAGUUGUGAAAGUUUGCGGCUCAACCGGAAAAUUGCAAUUGAUACUGGAAGUCUUGAGUACAGUUGAGGUAAGUGGAAUUCGUGGUGUAGCGGUGAAAUGCUUAGAGAUCACGAAGAACCCCGAUUGCGAAGGCAGCUCACUAAACUGUGACUGACAUUGAUGCUCGAAAGUGUGGGUAUCAAACAGGAUUAGAUACCCUUGUAGUC